UCCAUGCAAGAAGAAUUUGUAAAAAUUUGGAACUUACCUCUCACUUUAUCUGCACAGUUUUUUUUAAAGGAAGAGGUGAAAUGCGCCUGAAUCCGUAGUUAUACUAUCUACUG